rnacentral:lncRNA from 1 species
UUCAUGUUCAUGGACACCCAGACCAGCUGAGACUCUGUCAAGGAACUUGAAAAUUAUACUGGAAGCAGUCAUCCAAAUCCUUUCAUGUAAAUUAGGGACCUGUGCAUAUGAUAUCUGUGACAAUCAGGCUAUGCUUGUCAGGUUUAUUUUGAUUUGAGGGACUUUUUACCUUCGGAAGACUGCCUGCCUUUGCCAUUCAGGUGGCAAUCAGAUCCAGAUGUAACUGUUCCAGGAAACUGUGCUGUCUUUUGUUUAACAAGACCAAUGAAUUGUGUGAAAUCAAUGUGAUCGUGUUGUGGCAGCGAGGGAGAGGCCCAACUGCAUAAAGUGUGAGUAACU